CCUACGGGAGGCAGCAGUGAGGAAUAUUGGUCCAUGGACGAGAGUCUGAACCAGCCAAGUAGCGUGAAGGAUGACUGCCCUAUGGGUUGUAAACUUCUUUUAUAUGGGAAUAAAACGUUCCACGUGUGGGAUUUUGUAUGUACCAUAUGAAUAAGGAUCGGCUAACUCCGUGCCAGCAGCCGCGGUAAUACGGAGGAUCCGAGCGUUAUCCGGGUUUAUUGGGUUUAAAGGGAGCGUAGGUGGAUUGUUAAGUCAGUUGUGAAAGUUUGCGGCUCAACCGUAAAAUUGCAGUUGAAACUGGCAGUCUUGAGUACAGUAGAGGUGGGCGGAAUUCGUGGUGUAGCGGUGAAAUGCUUAGAUAUCACGAAGAACUCCGAUUGCGAAGGCAGUUCACUGGACUGCAACUGACACUGAGGCUCGAAAGUGUGGGUAUCAAACAGGAUUAGAUACCCCUGUAGUC
rnacentral:rRNA from 1 species